rnacentral:rRNA from 1 species
UACGUAGGCAGCAAGCGUUGUUCGGAGUUACUGGGCGUAAAGGGUGCGUAGGCGGCUUUUUAAGUUUGGUGUGAAAUCUCCCGGCUCAACUGGGAGGGUGCGACGAAUACUGAGAAGCUAGAGUGUGGGAGAGGAAAGUGGAAUUCCUGGUGUAGCGGUGAAAUGCGUAGAUAUCAGGAGGAACACCGGUGGUGUAAACGGCUUUCUGGACCAUAACUGACGCUGAUGCGCGAAAGCUAGGGGAGCAAACAGG